GAUGAACGCUGGCGGCGUGCCUAAUACGUGCAAGUCGAGCGAAUGGAUUGAGAGCUUGCUCUUAUGAAGUUAGCGGCGGACGGGUGAGUAACACGUGGGUAACCUGCCCAUAAGACUGGGAUAACUCCGGGAAACCGGGGCUAAUACCGGAUAACAUUUUGAACCGCAUGGUUCGAAAUUGAAAGGCGGCUUCGGCUGUCACUUAUGGAUGGACCCGCGUCGCAUUAGCUGGUUGGUGAGGGAACGGCUCACCAAGGCAACGAUGCGUAGCCGACCUGAGAGGGUGAUCGGCCACACUGGGACUGGGUCACGGCCCAGACUCCUACGGGAGGCAGCAGUAGGGAAUCUUCCGCAGUGGACGAAAGUCUGACGGAGCAACGCCGCGUGAGUGAUGAAGGCUUUCGGGUCGUAAAACUCUGUUGUUAGGGAAGAACAAGUGCUAGUUGAAUAAGCUGGCACCUUGACGGUACCUAACCAGAAAGCCACGGCUAACUACGUGCCAGCCGCCGCGGUAA
rnacentral:rRNA from 1 species